AUGGGAUUUUUCCUCCUUGUAAUUUUCGCUGUAGCAGCUUUGAAAGGUGUCCGGUCCCAGGUGCAGCUGGUGGAGUCCGGAGCGGAUGUGAAAAAGCCCGGAGACUCUCUCCGCCUGUCCUGCAAAGCCUCCGGCUUCACCUUCAGCAGCUAUUACAUGAGCUGGGUCCGACAGGCUCCUGGGAAGGGGCUGGAGUGGGUCUCAGGCAUUUAUAGUGAUGGGAGCCAACAAUUUUAUGCAGACUCAGUGAAAGGCCGAUUCACCAUCUCCAGAGACAACUCCAACAACCUGCUGUAUCUGCAAAUGACCGGCCUGAAGCCUGAGGACACCGCCCGCUAUUACUGUGCGAGAGACACAGUGAAACAAAACCGGUUUGUGAUCAUACAAAAACCCAGGCUGCGGAAUCACCCUUCUCCCGACAGCCGCGCGGGGGCAGCAGUGACACACACACCGCUUCGGGCUCCGACAGGAGACCCGGCAACCAGGUGA